rnacentral:rRNA from 1 species
UACGUAGGGUGCAAGCGUUAAUCGGAAUUACUGGGCGUAAAGCGUGCGCAGGCGGUGAUGUAAGACAGAUGUGAAAUCCCCGGGCUCAACCUGGGAACUGCAUUUGUGACUGCAUCGCUGGAGUGCGGCAGAGGGGGAUGGAAUUCCGCGUGUAGCAGUGAAAUGCGUAGAUAUGCGGAGGAAUACCAGUGGCGAAGGCGACUUCCUGGACCUUAACUGACGCUGAAGCGCGAAAGCAUGGGGAGCGAACGGG